UACAGAGGGGGCAAGCGUUAUUCGGAAUUAUUGGGCGUAAAGGGCGCGUAGGCGGCUUUGCAAGUGGCGGGUGAAAUCCCUCGGCUUAACCGAGGAACUGCCUGCCAGACUGUGAGGCUUGAGACCGGGAGAGGUGAGUGGAAUUCCCAGUGUAGCGGUGAAAUGCGUAGAUAUUGGGAGGAACACCAGUGGCGAAGGCGGCUCACUGGACCGGUUCUGACGCUGAGGCGCGAAAGCGUGGGGAGCAAACGGG
rnacentral:rRNA from 1 species